GAGUUUGAUCGUGGCUCAGGACGAACGCUGGCGGCGUGCUUAACACAUGCAAGUCGAACGGAGUAUUCACGAAAGAGGUUUCGGCCAAUGGAGUGAAUUACUUAGUGGCGGACUGGUGAGUAACGCGUGAGGAACCUGCCUUUCAGUGGGGGACAACAGUUGGAAACGUCUGCUAAUACCGCAUAACACAUUUGAGGGACAUCCCUUGAAUGUCAAAGAUUUAUUGCUGAAAGAUGGCCUCGCGUCUGAUUAGCUAGUUGGUGAGGUAACGGCCCACCAAGGCGACGAUCAGUAGCCGGACUGAGAGGUUGACCGGCCACAUUGGGACUGAGAUACGGCCCAGACUCCUACGGGAGGCAGCAGUGGGGAAUAUUGGGCAAUGGACGAAAGUCUGACCCAGCAACGCCGCGUGAAGGAAGAAGGCUUUCGGGUUGUAAACUUCUUUUAAGGGGGAAGAGUAGAAGACGGUACCCCUUGAAUAAGCCACGGCUAACUACGUGCCAGCAGCCG
rnacentral:rRNA from 1 species